rnacentral:rRNA from 1 species
GACGUAGGGGGCGAGCGUUGUCCGGAUUUAUUGGGCGUAAAGAGCGCGUAGGCGGUCCGGCAAGUCGGAUGUGAAAACCCGGGGCUCAACCCCGGGCCUGCAUCCGAUACUCCCGGACUGGAGGCAGGUAGGGGAGAUCGGAAUUCCUGGUGUAGCGGUGAAAUGCGCAGAUAUCAGGAGGAGCACCGGUGGCGAAGGCGGAUCUCUGGGCCUGUCCUGACGCUGAGGCGCGAAAGCUAGGGGAGCGAACAGG